rnacentral:rRNA from 1 species
AGUGAACGCUGGCGGUAGGCCUAACACAUGCAAGUCGAACGGCAGCACAGUAAGAGCUUGCUCUUACGGGUGGCGAGUGGCGGACGGGUGAGGAAUACAUCGGAAUCUACUUUUUCGUGGGGGAUAACGUAGGGAAACUUACGCUAAUACCGCAUACGACCUACGGGUGAAAGCAGGGGAUCUUCGGACCUUGCGCGAUUGAAUGAGCCGAUGUCGGAUUAGCUAGUUGGCGGGGUAAAGGCCCACCAAGGCGACGAUCCGUAGCUGGUCUGAGAGGAUGAUCAGCCACACUGGAACUGAGACACGGUCCAGACUCCUACGGGAGGCAGCAGUGGGGAAUAUUGGACAAUGGGCGAAAGCCUGAUCCAGCAAUACCGCGUGAGUGAAGAAGGCCUUCGGGUUGUAAAGCCCUUUUGUUGGGAAAGAAAAGCAGCAGGUUAAUACCCCGCUGUCCUGACGGUACCCAAAGAAUAAGCACCGGCUAACUUCGUG